rnacentral:rRNA from 1 species
AAACUAACAAGGAUUCCCUUAGUAACGGCGAGUGAACCGGGAAAAGCUCAAAUUUGUAAUCUGGCUGUCUUCGAUAGUCCGAGUUGUAAUCUAUAGACGUGUUUUCCGCGCUGGACCGCAUCGAAGUCCCUUGGAACAGGGUAUCAAAGAGGGUGACAAUCCCGUGCUUGAUGCGACUACCAGUGCUCUGUGAUACACGUUCUACGAGUCGAGUUGUUUGGGAAUGCAGCUCAAAAUGGGUGGUAAAUUCCAUCUAAAGCUAAAUAUUGGCGAGAGACCGAUAGCGAACAAGUACCGUGAGGGAAAGAUGAAAAGCACUUUGGAAAGAGAGUUAAAUAGUACGUGAAAUUGUUGAAAGGGAAACGAUUGAAGUCAGUCGUGUUCUUCAGAUUCAGCUGGUUCUUCCAGUGUACUUCUGUUGAACGGGUCAACAUCAGUUUUGUCCGGUGGAUAAAGGUAGUAGGAAUGUGACUCCCCCGGGAGUGUUAUAGCCUAUUAUUGCAUACACUGGGUGAGACUGAGGACUGCAGCUCGCCUUUUGGCCGGUCUUCGGACACGUUCGAGCUUAGGAUGUUGACAUAAUGGCUUUAAACGAC